GAGCAGCCGCUCCGAGUUCGUGGCGUUGGCGGACAGCGAAAAAGAAGAGCAGAAGAGAAAUGGCGCUGUGGCUGGAAACUGGGUCUGAACCCAAAACGGAAAGCGAGAUUGCUGACCUUCAAGCUAUCGCCGCCAUUAAAGAGUCUGCUGCUCUUGAACUUAAGGAGCAAGGUAAUAAGUAUGUCAAGAUGGGUAAAAAGCAUUAUUCUGAUGCUAUUGAUUGUUACACAAGGGCAAUAAAUCAGAAAGUUUUAAGUGACUCUGAAAAUUCGAUUAUUUAUUCAAAUAGAGCGCAUGUGAAUCUAUUGCUAGGCAAUUAUAGACGUGCUCUUACAGAUGCUGAGGAGGCAAUUAAACUGUGUGCAACUAAUAUCAAGGCACUAUAUCGAGCUUCCAAAGCAUCUUUGUCCUUGAAUAUGUUGGAUGAGGCAAAAUCUUAUUGUGAAAAUGGACUAAAGCAAGAUCCAAAUAAUGAAGAACUUAAAAAACUUGCUAAGCAGAUAAAUUCAUUGAAGAUGGAACAUGAUAAGCAUGAAGCUGAAGUUUCCAAGGCUGUAUCAGAUGCUAAGGACCUUCUUUCUGCAAUUGAAGCUAGAGGCUUGAAGAUUGGGAAGGCUAUGUUUCAAGAGCUUAUUGGAUUAAGGAAACCAAUAAUCGAUAAAAAUAAAAUUAUUCACUGGCCAGUUCUUCUUCUAUAUGCGGAGGUUAUGUCCAGUGACUUUAUUGAAGACUUCUGUGAAACGGACAUGUUUUCAACUCAUCUUGACAUGAUGUUUUCAGAAGGCUGUCCACCAUUACCGUGGGAUACAGAAAACAAUUAUACUCGUGAAGCUGUUGAACUCUACUAUGAGGUAAGCUUUGAUAUAUUUUCCUUAUUUGGUUGGCUUUUGUUUCUAAAUAUGUAAUCUAUAAAAUUUAGAAAAGAGCACUCUGAACUCUGAAGGGUAUAUUGUGUCAACAUAAAUGCAAACAAGUUCCCUUGAUUUCUCGGUAAGUUACCCAAAAGUGUAGUCAAGUUACCUAGAAUAUUGUUAAUUUACCUUCAUGUUUGGUAAGUUACUACAAUACCUAUUGUGUUGUCAUUGCCAAGCAGCAGUUUGUACCAUUAUCUCUUUUAUAUUUCCUCUUCAUUUCUAACUCCCUUGUUCUUGAUUAAUCAGGCUGGUUCUACAAUAUGUCUAUCCAAGUCGAAAAUUCUUCAUUGUUUACUAGAAGGGACUGCAGGUGCUAAUGCAGCAAGUGUUGGAGAAGAGAAGGAAGCAUUUGAGGAUUCUACUGAUGGCAACUCUACUGGUAGUAUGUUUUCUAAUAUCCUCCAUGUCAAGCAACUUUUAUCACUUUUUUUAUUUAUUUUAAAUUAUCUUUUUUAUCACUUAUACUCUGGCAAUCCAUGUUGGAGAAUGAAAUACAUCUUGUUCUUUUCUCUUCUCUUCUUUUUUUUUUCCCCAAGUCAUAGCUAUUUAUUUUGCUGCUGGCCUUUGCUUCUGAAGUUCUACUCUGCCUCUAUACAUAAGAUUUGGGACAGCUGAUUAUAUUUUUAUUCUCUCUCACUCUCUCCCUCUCUUUGUUAUGAUUAUUAUAGUUACUAAUUAGUUUUGGUAUGCUAUGAGCUAAUCACUUCUGGUAAGCUAAAAAAUUGAGAUCUUGGGCGUGCUAACAGAAUGUAUUACAUGCUUAUUAACCUGAACUCCCUGUAUGUAUAUUCUUAGGCACUGGCUCUUCAAAAUGGGUAAAAGUAAAUGAAAAGAGAACACUUCAUGAAGUUCUGAAGGAACGCGACUUUGUUAUCCCAGGAAUUCCAGGUCUGCAUUCAGUUCCUUGGUAAAGUUUUUAUGCAGGUGUAAAAUUCUUUUAUAUGCCUUAUUGGAAAAUUCUUUUAUAUGCCUUAUUGGUUGUUUUUCUUUUACAAAUUGGCACAUAUGCAGUUUUUUAUGUCGUUUCUAAAACCUCCAACUUCUAUAAAAAGUUCAAAGCUGGUAAAUGGGCUCUUCCACCAUGAGAAGGUUGUGUUCAAUAGCGUAAGUAGUGCAGCUUGGCUCUCUUCCAGGCAAGCUUUCUUGACAGCACCUGAAUGCAUAGAAACCAAAUGUUAAGUACCUGAAGCACCCGUGUGCAUCUGUUGGGAAGGAAAAGCAAAUUUAUUAAAGGAACUUUUUUCUUUUUAAUUUUUUAUUAUGAUCCACUGUUUUUGUGUUACAAAAAAAAAGGAAAAUUCUAUAUUUUUUGGGUUUAUGUAGUUGAUUCAGUUUCCUUCUCUAUUGUUUAUACGAAGAGAGUUUAAAGAGUAGGAUUAUCAUAUGUUAGCACUUUGUACCGUAAAUUCAAUGUUGCAUACUCAACUCAAUUUAACUAAGCCUUUA
rnacentral:misc_RNA from 1 species